GACGAACGCUGGCGGCGUGCUUCAUACAUGCAAGUCGAACGAGAAGCUGACUUCGGUCAGUGGAAAGUGGCGGACGGGUGAGUAAUAUGUAGGAAAUCUGCCUUUAGGAGGGGGACAACAGAGGGAAACUUCUGCUAAUACCCCAUAUGAGCGUAGCUGAAAUGCUAUUCUUGAAAACUCCGGUGCCUAAAGAUGAGCCUGCAUCUGAUUAGCUAGUUGGUAGUGUAAUGGACUACCAAGGCGACGAUCAGUAGCUGGAUUGAGAGGAUGAUCAGCCACAAUGGGACUGAGACACGGCCCAUACUCCUACGGGAGUCAGCAGUAGGGAAUUUUGCGCAAUGGGCGAAAGACUGACGCAGCAACGCCGCGUGAACGAUUAAGCCCUUCGGGGUGUAAAGUUCUGUCAGUGGGGACGAAACUUGACGGUACCCACAGAGGAAGCACCGGCUAACUCCGUG
rnacentral:rRNA from 1 species